GAUGAAGAACGUAGCGAAAUGCGAUAAGUAGUGUGAAUUGCAGAAUUCAGUGAAUCAUCGAAUCUUUGAACUCACAUUGCGCCCCUUGGUAUUCCAUGGGGCAUGCCUGUUCGAGCGUCAUUUGUACCUUCAAGCUCUGCUUGGUGUUGGGUGUUUGUCUCGCCUCUGCGUGUAGACUCGCCUCAAAACAAUUGGCAGCCGGCGUAUUGAUUUCGGAGCGCAGUACAUCUAGCGCUUUGCACUCAUAACGACGACGUCCAAAAGUACAUUUUUACACUCUUGACCUCAGAUCAGGUAGGGAUACCCGCUGAACUUAAGCAUAUCAAUAAGCGGAGGA
rnacentral:misc_RNA from 1 species